UACGGAGGGUGCGAGCGUUUGUCCGGAAUCAUUGGGCGUAAAGGGCGCGUAGGUGGCGGGACAAGCGUGCGGUGAAAGCCUGGGGCUCGAACCCCGGGUCGGCCGUGCGAACUGUUCUGCUUGAGCACUGUAGAGGCAGGCGGAAUUCCGGGUGUAGCGGUGGAAUGCGUAGAGAUCCGGAAGAACACCGGUGGCGAAGGCGGCCUGCUGGGCCAGUAGCUGGACACUGAGGCGCGACAGCGUGGGGGAGCAAACAGG
rnacentral:rRNA from 1 species